rnacentral:rRNA from 1 species
UGGGGAAUUUUGGACAAUGGGCGAAAGCCUGAUCCAGCAAUGCCGCGUGUGUGAAGAAGGCCUUCGGGUUGUAAAGCACUUUUGUCCGGAAAGAAAUCCUUGGCUCUAAUACAGUCGGGGGAUGACGGUACCGGAAGAAUAAGCACCGGCUAACUACGUGCCAGCAGCCGCGGUAAUACGUAGGGUGCAAGCGUUAAUCGGAAUUACUGGGCGUAAAGCGUGCGCAGGCGGUUUGCUAAGGCCGAUGUGAAAUCCCCGGGCUCAACCUGGGAACUGCAUUGGUGACUGGCAGGCUAGAGUAUGGCAGAGGGGGGUAGAAUUCCACGUGUAGCAGUGAAAUGCGUAGAGAUGUGGAGGAAUACCGAUGGCGAAGGCAGCCCCCUGGGCAAUACUGACGCUCAUGCACGAAAGCGUGGGGAGCAAACAGGAUUAGAUACCCUGGUAGUCCACGCCCUAAACGAUGUCAACUAGUUGUUGGGGAUUCAUUUCCUUAGUAACGUAGCUAACGCGUGAAGUUGACCGCCUGGGGAGUACGGUCGCAAGAUUAAAACUCAAAGGAAUUGACGGGGUCAUAGCUGUUUCCU